AGUUGAUGAUUCGUGAUAAGGAGAAUUGUUUAAUUAAUGAACUGGCAACUUAGGAGUUAACUCACCGAGUCAAAAUGAACUGAGUUGAUGAGUUUAUGAAUGAGUUUAAAAUGAACUGAUUCAUGGUAUUGAGUUGAAAAUCCCAUCACUAGUAGUUAACAAUAAUAACUAUCAAUUUAUCAUAUUCUUGUCACGUCAUUUGUUUGCAGUUUGCAUUUUUAGGAUAUGGCGGCCAACUUAACAUUUUUGUUCAUAAUUACC